AAAUGAAUAGACGGGGGCCCGCACAAGCGGCGGAGCAUGUUGCUUAAUUCGACGCAACGCGAAGAACCUUACCAAGGCUUGACAUCGCCGGAAAUCCCGCAGAGAUGCGGGGUCCUUUUUGGGCCGGUGACAGGUGGUGCAUGGCUGUCGUCAGCUCGUGUCGUGAGAUGUUGGGUUAAGUCCCGCAACGAGCGCAACCCUCGUUCCAUGUUGCCAGCACGUGAUGGUGGGGACUCAUGGGAGACCGCCGGGGUCAACUCGGAGGAAGGUGGGGAUGACGUCAAGUCAUCAUGCCCCUUAUGUCUUGGGCUGCAAACAUGCUACAAUGGCCGGUACAGUGGGCUGCGAUACCGUGAGGUGGAGCGAAUCCCUUAAAGCCGGUCUCAGUUCGGAUCGAAGUCUGCAACUCGACUUCGUGAAGUCGGAGUCGCUAGUAAUCGCAGAUCAGCAACGCUGCGGUGAAUACGUUCCCGGGCCUUGUACACACCGCCCGU
rnacentral:rRNA from 1 species